rnacentral:rRNA from 1 species
CCUACGGGAGGCAGCAGUGAGGAAUAUUGGUCAAUGGGCGGAAGCCUGAACCAGCCAAGUCGCGUGAGGGAAUAAGGCCCUACGGGUCGUAAACCUCUUUUGUCGGGGAGCAAGGGCGGGGACGUGUCCCGGCCCGGAGAGUACCCGGAGAAAAGGCACCGGCUAAUCCCGUGCCAGCAGCCGCGGUAAUACGGGGGACGCGAGCGUUAUCCGGAUUUAUUGGGUUUAAGGGGUGCGUAGCGGGGCUUUUAAGUCAGCGGUAAAAAUUCGGGGCUCAACCCCGUCCGGCCGUUGAAACUGGGGGCCUUGAGUGGGCGAGAGGAAGGCGGAAUGCGUGGGGUAGCGGUGAAAUGCAUAGAUAUCACGCAGAACCCCGAUUGCGAAGGCAGCCUUCCGGCGCCCUACUGACGCUGAGGCACGAAAGUGCGGGGAUCGAACAGGAUUAGAUACCCGUGUAGUC